rnacentral:misc_RNA from 1 species
UACGGAGGGUGCGAGCGUUAAUCGGAAUUACUGGGCGUAAAGCGCGCGUAGGCGGGCUGGUCAGUUGGGUGUGAAAGCCCCGGGCUCAACCUGGGAACUGCAUCCAAUACUGCCAGCCUAGAGUACGAGAGAGGGGGGUGGAAUUCCUAGUGUAGCGGUGAAAUGCGUAGAUAUUAGGAGGAACACCAGUGGCGAAGGCGGCCCCCUGGCUUGAUACUGACGCUGAGGUGCGAAAGCGUGGGGAGCAAACAGG